rnacentral:rRNA from 1 species
GAUGAACGCUGGCGGCGUGCUUAAUACAUGCAAGUCGAGCGGACGGACGAGGAGCUUGCGGCGCGGAUGUUAGCGGCGGGGGGGUGAGUAACACGUGUAUAACCUACCUAUAAGACUGGUAACACUUCGAAAAAGCGGAUCUUAUAGGGGAGGAGAUUUUGCACCGUAGGGGUCGAAGGUGAGAUACGGUCGUGCGGGCACGACUAGAGGGAUCUGCGCUGGAUGAGCUAGUUGUUGGGGUUAAGGGUUACGAAGGGAACGAGGCAUGACCGACCUGAGAGGGUGAUCGGCCGCCCUGGAGCUGGGACACGGUCCAUGCUCCUACGGGAGGCAGCAGUCGGGUAUCUUCCGCAAUGGGCGGAAGCCUGACGGAGCGACGCCACGUGAGUGAUGGCGGUCUUCGGUUCGUGAAGCUCUGUUAUUAGUGAAGAACCUCUGUGGAAGUAACUGUGCACAUCUUGACGGUACCUAGUCAGAAAGCCCCGGCUAACUACGUG